CCCAGACUCCUACGGGAGGCAGCAGUGGGGGAUAUUGCACAAUGGGGGAAACCCUGAUGCAGCGACGCCGCGUGAGUGAAGAAGUAUUUCGGUAUGUAAAGCUCUAUCAGCAGGGAAGAAAAAAGACGGUACCUGACUAAGAAGCCCCGGCUAACUACGUGCCAGCAGCCGCGGUAAUACGUAGGGGGCAAGCGUUAUCCGGAUUUACUGGGUGUAAAGGGAGCGUAGACGGCAAUACAAGUCGGAAGUGAAAUACCCGGGCUUAACCUGGGAACUGCUUUGGAAACUGUAUGGCUGGAGUGCUGGAGAGGUAAGCGGAAUUCCUAGUGUAGCGGUGAAAUGCGUAGAUAUUAGGAGGAACACCAGUGGCGAAGGCGGCUUACUGGACAGUAACUGACGUUGAGGCUCGAAAGCAUGGGGAGCAAACAGGAUUAGAUACCCGUGUA
rnacentral:rRNA from 1 species